rnacentral:misc_RNA from 1 species
GAUGAAGAACGUAGCGAAAUGCGAUAAGUAAUGCGAAUUGCAGAAUUCAGUGAGUCAUCGAAUCUUUGAACGCACAUUGCGCCCUGUGGUAUUCCGCAGGGCAUGCCUGUUCGAGCGUCAUUUCAACCCUCAAGCUCUGCUUGGUGUUGGGCCCUGCCCGCUGCGGCCGGCCCUAAAGACAGUGGCGGUGCCGCCUGGCCCUGAGCGUAGUACAUCUCUCGCUCCAGUGCCCGGUGGUAGCCGCCAGAACCCCAACUCUCGUGGUUGACCUCGGAUCAGGUAGGGAUACCCGCUGAACUUAAGCAUAUCAAUAAGCGGAGGA